rnacentral:rRNA from 1 species
GACGAACUUUGGCGGCGUGCUUAACACAUGCAAGUCGAACGGAAAGGCCCUGCUUUUGUGGGGUGCUCGAGUGGCGAACGGGUGAGUAACACGUGAGUAACCUGCCCUUGACUUUGGGAUAACUUCAGGAAACUGGGGCUAAUACCGGAUAGGAGCUCCUGCUGCAUGGUGGGGGUUGGAAAGUUUCGGCGGUUGGGGAUGGACUCGCGGCUUAUCAGCUUGUUGGUGGGGUAGUGGCUUACCAAGGCUUUGACGGGUAGCCGGCCUGAGAGGGUGACCGGCCACAUUGGGACUGAGAUACGGCCCAGACUCCUACGGGAGGCAGCAGUGGGGAAUAUUGCACAAUGGGCGGAAGCCUGAUGCAGCAACGCCGCGUGCGGGAUGACGGCCUUCGGGUUGUAAACCGCUUUCGCCUGUGACGAAGCGUGAGUGACGGUAAUGGGUAAAGAAGCACCGGCUAACUACGUGCCAGCAGCCGCGGUGAUACGUAGGGUGCGAGCGUUGUCCGGAUUUAUUGGGCGUAAAGGGCUCGUAGGUGGUUGAUCGCGUCGGAAGUGUAAUCUUGGGGCUUAACCCUGAGCGUGCUUUCGAUACGGGUUGACUUGAGGAAGGUAGGGGAGAAUGGAAUUCCUGGUGGAGCGGUGGAAUGCGCAGAUAUCAGGAGGAACACCAGUGGCGAAGGCGGUUCUCUGGGCCUUUCCUGACGCUGAGGAGCGAAAGCGUGGGGAGCGAACAGGCUUAGAUACCCUGGUAGUCCACGCUGUAAACGGUGGGUACUAGGUGUGGGGUCCAUUCCACGGGUUCCGUGCCGUAGCUAACGCUUUAAGUACCCCGCCUGGGGAGUACGGCCGCAAGGCUAAAACUCAAAGGAAUUGACGGGGCCCCGCACAAGCGGCGGAGCAUGCGGAUUAAUUCGAUGCAACGCGUAGAACCUUACCUGGGUUUGACAUGGAUCGGGAGUGCUCAGAGAUGGGUGUGCCUCUUUUGGGGUCGGUUCACAGGUGGUGCAUGCCUGUCGUCAGCUCGUGUCGUGAGAUGUUGGGUUAAGUCCCGCAACGAGCGCAACCCUUGUUCACUGUUGCCAGCACGUUAUGGUGGGGACUCAGUGGAGACCGCCGGGGUCAACUCGGAGGAAGGUGGGGAUGACGUCAAGUCAUCAUGCCCCUUAUGUCCAGGGCUUCACGCAUGCUACAAUGGCUGGUACAGAGAGUGGCGAGCCUGUGAGGGUGAGCGAAUCUCGGAAAGCCGGUCUCAGUCCGGAUUGGGGUCUGCAACUCGACCUCAUGAAGUCGGAGUCGCUAGUAAUCGCAGAUCAGCAACACUGCGGUGAAUACGUUCCCGGGGCU